AUAGAACGCUGGCGGCAUGCCUUACACAUGCAAGUCGAGCGGCAGCGCGGGGGCAACCCUGGCGGCGAGCGGCGCACGGGUGAGUAAUGCAUCGGAACGUGUCCUCUUGUGGGGGAUAACCAGUCGAAAGACUGGCUAAUACCGCAUGAGCACGAGAGUGGAAAGCGGGGGACCGCAAGGCCUCGCGCGAGAGGAGCGGCCGAUGCCGGAUUAGCUAGUUGGCGGGGUAAAGGCCUACCAAGGCGACGAUCUGUAGCGGGUCUGAGAGGAUGAUCCGCCACACUGGGACUGAGACACGGCCCAGACUCCUACGGGAGGCAGCAGUGGGGAAUAUUGGACAAUGGGGGGAACCCUGAUCCAGCCAUGCCGCGUGUGUGAAGAAGGCCUUAUGGUUGUAAAGCACUUUAAGCGAGGAGGAGGCUCUUUUGGUUAAUACCCAAGAUGAGUGGACGUUACUCGCAGAAUAAGCACCGGCUAACUCUGUGCCAGCCGCCGCAGUAACAC
rnacentral:rRNA from 1 species